rnacentral:rRNA from 1 species
GUACGGGAGGCAGCAGUAAGGAAUUUUGGUCAAUGGGGGAAACCCUGAACCAGCGACGCCGCGUGUGGGAUGAAGGGGCUUUGCCCUGUAAACCACUGUCGGGAGGGAAGAAAAGCUUGGAGCGAUCCAGGCUGGGACAGUACCUCCAAAGGAAGGAUCGGCUAACUACGUGCCAGCAGCCGCGGUAAUACGUAGGAUCCAAGCGUUGUCCGGAUUUACUGGGUGUAAAGGGUGCGCAGGCGGGCUCGUGCGUCAGAGGUUAAAUACUUCGGCUCAACCGAAGAAAUGCCUUUGAUACGGCGAGUCUUGAGUGCGGGAGAGGAUGGUAGAAUUCCUGGUGUAGCGGUGAAAUGCGUAGAUAUCAGGAGGAAUACCAGUGGCGAAGGCGGCCAUCUGGCCCGCAACUGACGCUCAGGCACGAAAGCGUGGGGAGCAAACAGGAUUAGAUACCCCAGUAGUCUC